rnacentral:rRNA from 1 species
AUGCAAGUCGAACGAGAUCUUCGGAUCUAGUGGCGCACGGGUGCGUAACGCGUGGGAAUCUGCCCUUGGGUUCGGAAUAACAGUUAGAAAUGACUGCUAAUACCGGAUGAAGUCUACGGACCAAAGAUUUAUCGCCCAGGGAUGAGCCCGCGUAGGAUUAGCUAGUUGGUGGGGUAAAGGCCUACCAAGGCGACGAUCCUUAGCUGGUCUGAGAGGAUGAUCAGCCACACUGGAACUGAAACACGGUCCAGACUCCUACGGGAGGCAGCAGUGGGGAAUCUUGCGCAAUGGGCGAAAGCCUGACGCAGCCACGCCGCGUGAGUGAAGAAGGCCUUCGGGUUGUANAGCUCUGUCGGGCGGGACGAAAACUCCCGGUGGUUACAGCAUCGGGAAUUGACGGUACCCGCCAAGGAAGCACCGGCUAACUUCGUG